CCAAUAGCGUAUAUUAAAGUUGUUGCAGUUAAAAAGCUCGUAGUUGAACUUCGGGAUUUGUUCAUUGGUCAGGCUUAAUUGUCUGUACUGGUGUGUCGAAUUCCUACCUUCUGACGAAUCUUCAUGCCAUUUAGUUGGUGCGGAGGGGAAUCAGGACUGUUACUUUGAAAAAAUUAGAGUGUUUAAAGCAGGCUAUUGCUCGAAUACAUUAGCAUGGAAUAAUAAAAUAGGACGGUUGGUUUUAUUUUGUUGGUUUCUAGGAUCACCGUAAUGAUUAAUAGGGAUAGUUGGGGGCAUUAGUAUUCAAUUGUCAGAGGUGAAAUUCUUGGAUUUAUUGAAGACUAACUAUUGCGAAAGCAUUUGCCAAGGAUGUUUUCAUUAAUCAAGAACGAAAGUUAGGGGAUCGAAGACGAUCAGAUACCGUCGUAGUCUUAACCAUAAACUAUGCCGACUAGGGAUCGGACGAAGUUAAUUUUUAAAUGACUCGUUCGGCACCUUACG
rnacentral:rRNA from 1 species